GGAGUCUGUAGCAGCAAUUUGCUGCGCUCGGUGAUGUCGCCUCCGAUAUGGUAGGGAAGGCCGCAGUUGGCAAACGAGACAAAUUCACCGCGCUCGAACAUGAUGAUUUCAGCAUCUUCGCUCAAGCGGCGGGCACGUGCGGCAGCGGAGGCUCCGCCUGCCACACCGC
rnacentral:antisense_RNA from 1 species